rnacentral:misc_RNA from 1 species
CGACCUUCGAGCCCUGCUCGGUGUUGGGCGCCGUCCUCGCGACGCGCCUUGAAGAAGUGGGCGGCCGAGCGGUCCCCUGGGCGUACCAGAAACAUUCGCCCCGGACGGCCGUGCCGGCUGGCCUUGUGCCACAUUUACAAA